rnacentral:rRNA from 1 species
AACGAACGCUGGCGGCAUGCCUAACACAUGCAAGUCGAACGAGACCUUCGGGUCUAGUGGCGCACGGGUGCGUAACGCGUGGGAACCUGCCUUUAGGUUCGGAAUAACUCAGAGAAAUUUGAGCUAAUACCGGAUGAUGUCUUCGGACCAAAGAUUUAUCGCCUUUAGAUGGGCCCGCGUUGGAUUAGCUAGUUGGUAGGGUAAAGGCCUACCAAGGCGACGAUCCAUAGCUGGUCUGAGAGGAUGAUCAGCCACACUGGGACUGAGACACGGCCCAGACUCCUACGGGAGGCAGCAGUGGGGAAUAUUGGACAAUGGGCGAAAGCCUGAUCCAGCAAUGCCGCGUGAGUGAUGAAGGCCUUAGGGUUGUAAAGCUCUUUUACCCGAGAUGAUAAUGACAGUAUCGGGAGAAUAAGCUCCGGCUAACUCCGUG